AAACUAACUAGGAUUCCCCUAGUAACGGCGAGUGAACCGGGAUGAGCUCAAAUUUAAAAUCUGGCGUCUUUCAGGCGUCCGAGUUGUAAUCUAUAGAGGCGUUUUCCGCGCCGGACCGCGUCCAAGUCUCUUGGAAUAGAGUAUCAAAGAGGGUGACAAUCCCGUACUUGACGCGACAACCGGUGCUCUGUGAUACGUUCUCAAUGAGUCGAGUUGUUUGGGAAUGCAGCUCUAAAUGGGUGGUAAAUUCCAUCUAAGGCUAAAUAUUGGCGAGAGACCGAUAGCGAACAAGUACCGUGAGGGAAAGAUGAAAAGCACUUUGGAAAGAGAGUUAAACAGCACGUGAAAUUGUUAAAAGGGAAACGAUUGAAGUCAGUCGUGUGAAAGGUAUUCAGCCGUCUCUGGCGGUGUAUUUGCCUUUCACGGGUCAACAUCAGUUUGAUCCGGUAGAAAAAGGCGGGAGGAAGGUGGCACCCUCGGGUGUGUUAUAGCCUCCUGUCAUAUGUGCCGGACCAGACUGAGGAACGCAGCUUGCCGCAAGGCCGGGGUUCGCCCACGUACAAGCUUAGGAUGUUGACAUAAUGGCUUUAAACGACCCGUCUUGAAACACGGACCAAGGAGUCUAACAUAUCUGCGAGUGUUUGGGUGUCAAACCCAAGCGCGAAAUGAAAGUGAACGUAGGAGGGAUGCGCAAG
rnacentral:rRNA from 1 species